UGGGGGAUAUUGCACAAUGGGCGAAAGCCUGAUGCAGCGACGCCGCGUGGGGGAUGAAGGCUUUCGGGUUGUAAACCUCUUUCGCUAUCGAACAAGGCCCGCUUAGGGUGGGUUGAGGGUAGGUGGAGAAGAAGCGCCGGCUAACUACGUGCCAGCAGCCGCGGUAAUACGGAGGGUGCAAGCGUUAAUCGGAAUUACUGGGCGUAAAGCGCACGCAGGCGGUUUGUUAAGUCAGAUGUGAAAUCCCCGGGCUCAACCUGGGAACUGCAUCUGAUACUGGCAAGCUUGAGUCUCGUAGAGGGGGGUAGAAUUCCAGGUGUAGCGGUGAAAUGCGUAGAGAUCUGGAGGAAUACCGGUGGCGAAGGCGGCCCCCUGGACGAAGACUGACGCUCAGGUGCGAAAGCGUGGGGAGCAAACAGG
rnacentral:rRNA from 1 species